AUUGAACGCUGGCGGCAGGCCUAACACAUGCAAGUCGAACGAGUGGCGGACUGGUGAGUAAUUUCUGGGAAACUGCCUGAUGGCGGGGGAUAACUACUGGAACCGGUAGCUAAUACCGCAUACCAUCCGAUUUGCCCUGAUGGGAUUAGCUAGGUGGUGGGGUAACGGCUCACCAAGGCGACGAUCCCUAGCUGGUCUGAGAGGAUGACCAGCCACACGGGGACUGAGACACGGUCCAGACUCCUACGGGAGGCAGCAGUGGGGAAUAUUGCACAAUGGGCGCAAGCCUGAUGCAGCCAUGCCGCGUGUAUGAAGAAGGCCUUCGGGUUGUAAAGUACUUUCAGCGGGGAGGCGUUACCCGCAGAAGAAGCACCGGCUAACUCCGUGCCAGCAGCCGCGGUAAUUC
rnacentral:rRNA from 1 species